AACCGUUAUAACCGGCGAUGUCCGAAUGGGGAAACCCAGUGUGACUCGUCACACUAUCAUUAACUGAAUCCAUAGGUUAAUGAGGCGAACCGGGGGAACUGAAACAUCUAAGUACCCCGAGGAAAAGAAAUCAACCGAGAUUCCCCCAGUAGCGGCGAGCGAACGGGGAGGAGCCCAGAGCCUGAAUCAGCAUGUGUGUUAGUGGAAGCGUCUGGAAAGGCGCGCGAUACAGGGUGAGAGCCCCGUACACAAAAGCGCAUAUGCUGUGAGCUCGAUGAGUAGGGCGGGACACGUGGUAUCCUGUCUGAAUAUGGGGGGACCAUCCUCCAAGGCUAAAUACUCCUGACUGACCGAUAGUGAACCAGUACCGUGAGGGAAAGGCGAAAAGAACCCCGGCGAGGGGAGUGAAACAGAACCUGAAACCGUG
rnacentral:rRNA from 2 species